UCUCAUGGGUGGGCAAAGAAAGUGGUUUCUUGAGAUGGAAUCUAUUUGUGGUGAAGAUGCUAUGAA
rnacentral:pre_miRNA from 1 species